GUGUUCCACGCUGUCGGUUCGCCGCCCGUCGGUGUCAACUGGCAUGUCCUGUGGAACGUCCUGCCGGUGGCGGUCCGGGCUUUCGGCUUGCGUAAGGGCUCACGCCCGAAGCAGGCCGAACAGUACCGGCCGCCGGUCCAAUCCCGCCACGGUGCUCUUCACCGAGUGUCGAGGUGGGCCGGCACGUUUACUUUGAACAAAUUAGAGUGCUUAAAGCAGGCUGGUGUCCGCCUGAAUACUGUGUGCAUGGAAUAAUAGAAUAGGACCUCGGUUCUAUUUUGUUGGUUUUCGGAACCCGAGGUAAUGAUUAAUAGGGACAGGCGGGGGCAUUCGUAUUGCGACGUUAGAGGUGAAAUUCUUGGAUCGUCGCAAGACGAACCUAAGCGAAAGCAUUUGCCAAGUAUGUUCUCGUUAAUCAAGAACGAAAGUUAGAGGUUCGAAGGCGAUCAGAUACCGCCCUAGUUCUAACCAUAAACGAUGCCAGCCAGCGAUCCGCCGAAGUUCCUCCGAUGACUCGGCGGGCAGCUUCCGGGAAACCAAAGCUUUUGGGUUCCGGGGGAAGUAUGGUUGCAAAGCUGAAACUUAAAGGAAUUGACGGAAGGGCACCACCAGGAGUGGAGCCUGCGGCUUAAUUUGACUCAACACGGGAAACCUCACCAGGCCCGGACACCGGAAGGAUUGACAGAUUGAGAGCUCUUUCUUGAUUCGGUGGGUGGUGGUGCAUGGCCGUUCUUAGUUGGUGGAGCGAUUUGUCUGGUUAAUUCCGAUAACGAACGAGACUCUAGCCUGCUAACUAGGCGAUUCCGGUACCCACAAUAGUGUUACCGGCGAUUCAAUUUCUUCUUAGAGGGACAGGCGGCUCCUAGCCGCACGAGACUGAGCAAUAACAGGUCUGUGAUGCCCUUAGAUGUCCUGGGCCGCACGCGCGCUACACUGAAGGAAUCAGCGUGUCUUCCCUGGCCGACAGGCCCGGGUAACCCGUUGAACCUCCUUCGUGCUAGGGAUUGGGGCUUGCAAUUGUUCCCCAUGAACGAGGAAUUCCCAGUAAGCGCGAGUCAUAAGCUCGCGUUGAUUACGUCCCUGCCCUUUGUACACACCGCCCGUCGCUACUACCGAUUGAAUGAUUUAGUGAGGUCUUCGGACUGGUGCGCGGCGAUCGGCUUAUACUGCCGGCCGCCGAUGUUGCCGGAAAGAUGACCAAACUUGAUCAUUUAGAGGAAGUAAAAGU
rnacentral:rRNA from 1 species